GACGAACCACACAAACGUUAUUCGGAAUUACUGGGCUUAAAGGGUGCGUAGGCUGCGCAGUAAGUUGGGUGUGAAAUCCCUCGGCUCAACCGAGGAACUGCGUCCAAAACUACUGUGCUCGAGGGAGACAGAGGUGAGCGGAACUUAGGGUGGAGCGGUGAAAUGCGUUGAUAUCCUAAGGAACACCCGUGGCGAAAGCGGCUCACUGGGUCUCUUCUGACGCUGAGGCACGAAAGCUAGGGUAGCGAACGGG
rnacentral:rRNA from 1 species